rnacentral:rRNA from 1 species
AGUUUACAACUCCCAAACACCCUGUGAACAUACCACUUGUUGCCUCGAGCGGAUCAAUCCCGCUCCCGGUAAAACGGGACGGCCCGCCAGAGGACCCCUAAACUCUGUUUCUAUAUGUAACUUCUGAGUAAAACCAUAAAUAAAUCAAAACUUUCAACAACGGAUCUCUUGGUUCUGGCAUCGAUGAAGAACGCAGACAAAAUGCGAUAAGUAAUGUGAAUUGCAGAAUUCAGUGAAUCAUCGAAUCUUUGAACGCACAUUGCGCCCGCCAGUAUUCUGGCGGGCAUGCCUGUUCGAGCGUCAUUUCAACCCUCAAGCACAGCUUGGUGUUGGGACUCGCGUUAAUUCGCGUUCCUCAAAAUUGAUUGGCGGUCACGUCGAGCUUCCAUAAGCGUAAUAGUAAAACCCUCGUUACUGGGUAAAUCGUCGCGGGCCACGCCCGUUAAAACCCCCCAACUUUCUGGAAAUGUUUGAAACCUCCGGGAAUCAAGGGGUAAGGGGAAUAACCCCCGCCCUGAAAAACCUUUAAAGCCCAUUAUUCAAAUUNAAGAGCGGGGAGG